CAGCUCUGGCAAGUGAGGAUGUAGAUGGAUAGUCAUUAGGUUUUUGCUGUUCCUGUUUGAUAUUUGCAGCUUUCAUGAGAGAUCCUGCUACUAGUAGAUGAUCCUGCUGUUAACUUCUGAUGAGGCACAUCUCCCCCAGAAGUGUUCUACAGAUGAGGGAUUCUCUGAUUUGAGCAGCUCUAAUGGUGUGUCUGGCAGGGAGGGAAAGCAUCUUCAGCAACAUUCAGACUCUGAGCUGUCCCAGCUUGAUUAAAUAUACAAUGUUUAUUAAGCGUUCUGGAAGGAAAACAGCUGCAAAGAAGCACACUGCCCUGAAGUCAGGCUCAUUUGGUGGGUUUCAUACUAACUUGAUAGUAAUGAUGAUCUCCAUUGAGUGAGACAGGGAGUGAAUAAGGUAUUUAACACUGCAUGCUUCGGCUGUGAAAACCUUUUCAACUUGUGCUUUCAACUUCUGUUUUUUUGGUGUUAUUAAAUUAUUUAUGUGGAUAUCUUUUAAAAUAAAUAAUUAUCCUGUUCUCCA
rnacentral:lncRNA from 1 species